rnacentral:rRNA from 1 species
GACGAACGCUGGCGGCGUGCUUAACACAUGCAAGUCGAACGGAAAGGCCCUGCUUUUGUGGGGUGCUCGAGUGGCGAACGGGUGAGUAACACGUGAGUAACCUGCCCUUGACUUUGGGAUAACUUCAGGAAACUGGGGCUAAUACCGGAUAGGAGCUCCUGCUGCAUGGUGGGGGUUGGAAAGUUUCGGCGGUUGGGGAUGGACUCGCGGCUUAUCAGCUUGUUGGUGGGGUAGUGGCUUACCAAGGCUUUGACGGGUAGCCGGCCUGAGAGGGUGACCGGCCACAUUGGGACUGAGAUACGGCCCAGACUCCUAUGGGAGGCAGAAGUGGGGAAUAUUGCACAAUGGGCGGAAGCCUGAUGCAGCAACGCCGCGUGCGGGAUGACGGCCUUCGGGUUGUAAACCGCUUUCGCCUGUGACGAAGCGUGAGUGACGGUAAUGGGUAAAGAAGCACCGGCUAACUACGUG